UAUAUCUCCCACGUGUCGAGGCACGACUUAGAGGCAUAGCCGCAUUGAAAGCAAUGUCGCAAGUCGGGAAAUCAUCACACAACCCAUGUACAUAAAUAAUAUAAAGGGGAAGAACAUAGUUGGCUUACACUCGCCACGUCACAUCAAAGUACAUGAAUAACAUCCAUCAUACAAUUCACUCAUGGCCCGACUACGGCGCCAAAAUAGAAAAGACCCCCAACAUGCGACAAGGCCCUGAAUCUAACCCCGAAUAGGCACCACUACUGAUCAUCAGGAAAAGACACAUAGUAACGCUGAGAGUCCUUGUCGUACUCCCACUUGAGCUCGAGCGCGCCAUCUGGAGCUGUAUCAUCUGUCCCUGCAUCUGGUGUAAUAGUAAUCUGUGAGCCACAGGGACUCCGCAAUCUCGCACCCUCGCGAUCAAGACUAUUUAAGCUUAAUAGGUAGGAAAGGGGUAAUGUAUAAAUGGAGCUGCAGCAAGCGACUAGCAUAUAUGGUGGCUAACUUAUUCGCAAAAGAGAGCGAGAAGAGGAGGCAAUGCACGAGCGAGAAACUAGAGAGCAACCUGCGCAAACAUAACUCCAACACCGUGUUGACUUCCCGGACUCCGCCGAGAAAAGGCCAUCACGGCAACACACUCAGUUGAUUCAUUUUAAUUAAUUAAGGUUCAAGUUAUCUACAACCGGACAUUAACAAAUUCCCAUCUGCCCAUAACCGUGGGCACGGCUUUCGAAAGAUCAAUCCCUGCAGGGGGGUCCCAACUUAGCCCAUAACAAGCUCUCACGGUCAACGAAGGAAUAGACCUCCACCCAAGACACACCGAUCAGACUCGGUAUCUCGGUACAACAAGAUGAUUCGACAGGUCAAAACAAGUCCAGCAACACCGCCGGAAUGUGCCGACAAAUCCCGAUAGGAGCUGCACAUAUCUCUUUCUCAGGGCACAUUCAGAUUGUCCAAACUUCCGGUAGGCCAACCCAGAGUUGCCCCUGGUGGCCACCAGCGGCUGACGUUCCGGACCAACACUCAGAGGAGCACUAGCCCGUGGGGGGCUAAAAUAAAGAUGACCCUCGGGCUCCGGAAACCCAAGGGAAAAAGGGGUAGGUGGCAAAUGGUAAAACCAAUGUUGGGCAUUGUUGGAAAAGCUUUAAUCAAGGCGAACUAUCAAGGGGUUCCCAUUAUAGCCCAACCGCGUAAGGGACGCAGCAAUCCGGGAACAUAACACCGAUAUGACGGAAACUAGGGCGGCAAGAGUGGAACAAAACACUAGGCGAGAGGCCGAGCCUUCCACCCUUUACCAAGUAUAUAGAUGAAUUAAGAUGACAUAGCAAUAUAAUGAUAUCCCAACAAGUAAAUAAAUGUUCCAACAAGGAACGGCUCCAAUCUUCACCUGCAACUAGCAACGCUAUAAGAAGGGGCUGAGCAAAGCGGUAACAUAGCCAAUCAACGGUUUGCUAGGACAAUGGUGGGUUAGAGGCUCAAUCAUGGCAAUUGGGAAGCUGACAAGCAAGUGGUAGGCAUCGUAGCAUUGGCAAAGCAAGAGAGCGAGCAAACUAGCAUAGCAAAGAUAGUAGUGAUUUCGAGGGUAUGAUCAUCUUGCCUGCACAGUUGUCAGAGUUGACUGGAUCCUCAAAAGCAAACUCAACGGGCUCCUCGUUAGCGAACUCAUCUCCCGGCUCUACCCAACAACACAAACAAGCAACAAGGGUACAAUCAACCACGUGCAAACUCAAGCAAUAAGAUGCAAAUGAUGGUAUGCUAUGCGGGAUGCGAUGCG
rnacentral:lncRNA from 1 species